GAGCAUCUUAACCCUCUGUCUUUCAUAGAAGUCGACUUUGACCAUUCUUGUCACCUUUAGGGGGUGGCGGGGUAGGGUGAGGGGCACCUUCCACUUUAAGAGCGCUCCAAUAACAGGCCCAAUAAGCCGAGGGGAACCAACACUACUUCCCUGCCUCUCUAAGUGUCUUUAGUUGAAGGCUGAUGAACGCUGGGUACUAGCAAACCCGAGGGCGAGGAGAGCCAGGGAGGAGGGACUCUCUUGGGGUGCGGUGGGGGGGAGGGAGAAAGAGAGAGGAAAGAGGAAGAGAGAGAACGAGAGAGGGACAACCACUGCUGUGUGAGUUAGAUAAUCAGCAAAAAUUAAAAAGGAAAAAAAAAAAAGCUGUAGCGACCAGGCAAGAGGGUUUAAAAAAAAAAAAAAAAAGCAACGCGAUUGUAGAUUGUAUGUGAGCGUCUCCGCUCUCGCUCUGCGGGCACCCGAGAUUCGCGAUGCAGCAUCCUCUGACGGGGGCCACCUGCGUGGCACUCCCCAACGUGGGCAUGUGUCCCCAGCUCUCGUGUGCCUUGACUUUUAUGUACUUACAGCAGGGUAAUCAGGAAGCAGCGGCCGCCCCUGACACAAUGGCUCAGCCUUAUGCCUCAGCGCAGUUCGCUCCACCCCAGAAUGGCAUCCCUGCAGAAUACACGGCCCCUCAUCCCCAUCCCGCGCCAGAGUACACCGGCCAGACCACUGUCCCCGACCACACAUUAAACCUGUAUCCUCCUACACAGACGCACUCGGAGCAGAGCGCUGAUACAAGCGCACAGACCGUCUCCGGCACCGCCACA
rnacentral:lncRNA from 1 species